GGUAAGGGAAGGUACAAUCACCAAGUACAAUACACAAUCGAGAUCCAGCAUAAAAAGUUGCGAAUAUAAAACAAAAGUGUCACUUGCCGUGGGUCUGGAGGUACCAGACGAUGUCCGAGGCUGAGCUUGCAUUGUUAUUCCCCUUUGUCGCUGGCUUUGUUUGUGUUGAUUCGUUUUUAGAAAGUCCCCACAAUCAUUCAUUUCGGUAAGAUCAAUGAAUCGAUACGAUAUACCUGGGGAGGCAAAGGACAGCGACAUAAAGAAAACCAGAAGGCGAAAGCUAAGCGGUAUGAGUUCCUGGGAUCGAGACGAGAUCAAAAAGUUUCACUUGAUGAACUGUUUUCAAAAUUUACGAAUGGAGUACAGAAAAAGGCCAAUAAAUUUACUUUUAACGUUCA